rnacentral:rRNA from 1 species
CUACGGGGCGCUGCAGGCGCGAAACCUUCACAAUGCACGAAAGUGUGAUGAGGUCAGCCAGAGUGCUAAUGUUUUACAUUGGCUUUUGCCAAGAGCAAAUAUCUUGGCGAAUAAGUGGUGGGUAAGACUGGUGCCAGCCGCCGCGGUAACACCAGCGCCACAAGUGGGAACCGCAAUUAUUGGGUCUAAAGCAUCCGUAGCCGGUUUGAUAAAUCUUUUGUGAAAUUGUUGGACUCAAUCUAACAACGUGCAGGAGAGACUGUCAAACUUGGAACUGGGAGGAGUCAGAGGUAUUUUUGGGGGAGCGGUAAAAUGCUAUAAUCCCAAAAGGACCGCCAGUGGCGAAGGCGUCUGACUAGAACAGUUUCGACGGUGAGGGAUGAAAGCCAGGGGAGCAAAACGGAUUAGAUACCCCCGUAGUC